rnacentral:rRNA from 1 species
CGUAGGUAACCUGCCCAUGUGUCCGGGAUAACUGCUGGAAACGGCAGCUAAAACCGGAUAGGUAUACAGAGCGCAUGCUCAGUAUAUUAAAGCGCCCAUCAAGGCGUGAACAUGGAUGGACCUGCGGCGCAUUAGCUAGUUGGUGAGGUACGCCCACCAAGGCGAUGAUGCGUAGCCGGCCUGAGAGGGUAAACGGCCACAUUGGGACUGAGACACGGCCCAA